rnacentral:piRNA from 1 species
UUUGAAAGAUGAGGAGGGACAGA